CUGUGACUUAGUUUGCUGUGUGCAACAACUGGCAGACCUCUCUUCUUCCCCAGCAAGUGUAUCCUCCAGCACCUGCUCUCAUUGGGAGGGGAUCUGGCAUGCUUGUGGCUGGAAGAAGCUGACAGCACAUGGUCUUAACGGCAGCAGUGACAGAUCCACGGCACAGAAAUCUGAAGGAAACGAAGGCACAGCAGCUUCAGCCUCCUCGGCUCACAGCAGAUGGAGCAGCGGCUUUGUGCUCAGUGGGAGCUGCUGUGUAGUGGGAGAUGAAGAUAUCUCUAGGAUUUUGCUUGGAUGUUUGCAAGUGCUAAUGGAGUCACCCCAGGGGCCGGGCUGGACUGUGGAAAGGAUGUGAGAUCGAUGGGCCCCCCUGUCCCAGAUGCAACCUUUGACGGGGGCCUUGCCUUGUGAUAAAGGGCAUCUUCAAUCAAUUCCCCUAGAGAGAACUCUGGUUUGGCCUAAGCCACGGUGGAUGGCUGAAAGUCAGGCGAAUAUCCC